rnacentral:rRNA from 1 species
AUUGAACGCUGGCGGCAUGCCUUACACAUGCAAGUCGAACGGCAGCACGGGAGCAAUCCUGGUGGCGAGUGGCGAACGGGUGAGUAAUAUAUCGGAACGUGCCCAGUCGUGGGGAUAACGUAGCGAAAGCUACGCUAAUACCGCAUACGAUCUAUGGAUGAAAGCGGGGGAUCGCAAGACCUCGCGCGAUUGGAGCGGCCGAUAUCAGAUUAGGUAGUUGGUGAGGUAAAGGCUCACCAAGCCGACGAUCUGUAGCUGGUCUGAGAGGACGACCAGCCACACUGGGACUGAGACACGGCCCAGACUCCUACGGGAGGCAGCAGUGGGGAAUUUUGGACAAUGGGCGCAAGCCUGAUCCAGCAAUGCCGCGUGCAGGAUGAAGGCCCUCGGGUUGUAAACUGCUUUUGUACGGAACGAAAGGUUUCUAUUAAUACUAGGAGCUCAUGACGGUACCGUAAGAAUAAGCACCGGCUAACUACGUGCC